rnacentral:rRNA from 1 species
UGCAACUCGACUACAUGAAGCUGGAAUCGCUAGUAAUCGCAGAUCAGAAUGCUGCGGUGAAUACGUUCCCGGGUCUUGUACACACCGCCCGUCACACCAUGGGAGUCGGAAAUGCCCGAAGCCGGUGACCAAACCAAUAAGGAAGGAGCCGUCGAAGGCAGGUCUGAUAACUGGGGUGAAGUCGUAACAAGGUACC